AGCACUUUUAUGCAUCUUCGUUUAAUUUGUAACAAAUAUUUACAGAUAGGUGAAAAUAGUAAAUCCUCUUUUGCAACCCAGAACUCAUUGUUGAGUAUGAGUUUUGGUACAUUUUAGAAGGAAUAUG
ensembl:snoRNA